UUUAAAGUGGCAGAAUAAAUAUGCGAGGAAUUUAAGCUUCCUAAAUGAGAUUUUUCCUUUAAAA
rnacentral:tRNA from 1 species